UACGGGGGGGGCAAGCGUUGUUCGGAAUUACUGGGCGUAAAGGGCGCGUAGGCGGACCUGCAAGUCGGGGGUGAAAGCCCGAGGCUCAACCUCGGAACUGCCUUCGAUACUGCGGGUCUCGAGUCCGGGAGAGGUGAGUGGAAUUCCUAGUGUAGAGGUGAAAUUCGUAGAUAUUAGGAAGAACACCAGUGGCGAAGGCGGCUCACUGGCCCGGUACUGACGCUGAGGUGCGAAAGCGUGGGGAGCAAACAGG
rnacentral:rRNA from 1 species